GGAUCUGGAAUUGAGCAGAAUGGAAAACAGAUUUUCAGUAAGGCAGCUGGAAAAUCGCAAAGGGCACAAAAUGGUGGCGUGGAAGAUUCGUGCAGCGCAGGUGGGAUGGCAACAGGACAACAGAUGCUUUGCUGCGCAGCAAAUUGGCAAACGGCUACGGUCUCGCGCGAGGUCCUUUUCCUUUUAUCCUUGGGUUUCCCUACACAAAAGCGCAGCGAGUGCGCAAUUGUUGUAAUUUGAUGAUUUAUGAGGCGAAAGACCAAAAAUUUGCGCACUGCCCGCCCGCCAACACGAAACAAGCUGAAAGGAUCCCUCCGCAUAUCCUUGGGCAUCCUUGGUGGCAAGGCAGCAAAAGAGCCAAAGAGCCAGGCAGGCAGACAAGCAGACGACGUAAAAUAUUUUUGCGGAGAAAGGACAAUUUAUGCGACACAGACGGCGACAAAGGCGAAAAGGACGUGUGUGCGUAAAUUCAUUAGGAUACGGCCAGCGUUUUCUACGCCCGACGCCAAGACGAACCAAAACCGAAACCCUUGCCAAACAAUUAGAGGAGAAAAUAUAUUUAUAGUCCUGGCUGAUGUUGUUAAGGGGAUGGAAAAGCGUCUGGCGCUUUUGUUGCUUGUGUCAUCGAAGCCGCUCCACAAAAAGAUGAUAAAUUGUUGGAAAAUUACGUGCACAAACAUACAUCCGUAAACAAGUUGGGCAACCGGAAAUUUAUGUUUAAUAAUUUGCUGCCGUUCUCGCUGGCAAAGGAUUUUGCCGUAUUUCGUGUAUUCGGGAUUUACACUUUUAUGACGGGCCAUUAAAGAAGAGGUUUGCCCUUUCCCCCUCUUUAUUUCCCUGACAAAAAGGGCUGAGGUCUCUGACUCCGGUGAUGCGGCGGCAUGAAUGUUUCAUCAGUUGUCGUGUCAUGAUAAAUUUGAUCUUUUCAGCUCAUCAUCGCUCAGGCCCUCGGAAAUGAGCUCGCAGAAAUGCCAAAAGGGCUUCAAUUAACGAACUAUAAACAAGCUGCUAACUUGGUCAAAACAAAGAAGGACUGCAGCACUAGGUGCUCUCCACUUACCAUGCAGUUCGCCUGCCCUGCGGAUCCUGCGGAUGUGAGGGGCAAAUACAAAACAGGACCUUAAAGCUGCUUUGACUGGCGGCUGCUCUUCAAAGUUUCAAGGCUCUGGCCAAGUUUUUUGUCCACCUCGAGUCCUUUGCGAAUGGCGGGGGCGUCGACUGGGGGCGUGGUGAUGCGUUUAAUUAUGCUAAAAGCAGGCAGCAACUUUGCCAGCUACAGAAAUGAAUAUUUACACCUGCCCGGAUGCAAAUGUGGCGCCAAUGUCAAAGCCAUUCACUGUCGCAGUGCCAGGGGUAAACAGAACUCCGAUAUGUAUCUUUUGGCACUAUUCAAUGCUAGUGAUUUGCUUUAAUUAACGUGUUUCACAGAUCACUUUCUCACUCGUUUAAUGUCCUGCAACACUUUUGGAAGUCGCUGCAAUUUCCCACUUCUUACGACUUUUGGGAAUUGUCCCGUUGAAGCCCGGAAAAACACUGGACUCGCACAGGCUUUUGCGACGGAAAACGCGAACGAACUGACUGGCUGGGAAACUGAACAAUGGCUUUUCAAUGCUAACUUGGCUCGGCUUGGAAAUCUCAACACGCGCUCUCUGCGAUUUUUGGAAAAUCGCCCCCCUUUUCCGCUUCCCAACGAAAUGUGUGCAAAAUGUUUGUUUACAUUUGGCAGAAAGCAAUUGGGAGGAGUAUGAGGCGGAAGGACCGAGGAAUCAGAACCCAAUUGGAUGUUGCCUACUUUUGGGCCUGUGAAAUAUGACUUCUGCAAUCGAAGUGGAGAUGCAAUUGCAUUUGGCCUAAAGCUUUAGGCCUGCAACCAGCUGUUCCAGCGGAAGCGUUAGUAAGCCGGGCUAAAACCGAUUUUCCACACAGCUUUGACAUGGCUGCCAUCCAUCUAAUGAACUGCCCUCGCCGGCUGCUGAUGGAUAAAACUUUUUUAAUUAUCAUUAAUGAACACGAAGGGCGCAAUCAUUGGCCAAGUUGCGCUUUGCAAUUAUUUUAAUGUUCAAUGAGGUUGCUGCAGCAGUCAUCGCCAAUGAUUUAUUACCGCCCCCUUAGCUUUUCCAAAGGCCACGGACGUCGGAGCCCAAGGUCCAAGGUCCAAAGUCCUCGGUCCAAAGUCCUCAGUUCAAAGCCCAAAGUGUGUAUAUGUGUGUGUGAGUUGCCGGCAUUGGCAAUUAGAUAGCUGGAGGAGGAGGAGGAUAGAGGGAGCGGGAAGGUCCAUGAAACAGCGUUUAUGUUUAAUGCGU